rnacentral:rRNA from 1 species
ACGAACGCUGGCGGCGUGCUUAACCCCUGCAAGUCGAACGGAAAGGCCCUGCUUUUGUGGGGUGCCCGAGUGGCGAACGGGUGAGUAACACGUGAGUAACCUGCCCUUGACUUUGGGAUAACUUCAGGAAACUGGGGCUAAUACCGGAUAGGAGCUCCUGCUGCAUGGUGGGGGUUGGAAAGUUUCGGCGGUUGGGGAUGGACUCGCGGCUUAUCAGCUUGUUGGUGGGGUAGUGGCUUACCAAGGCUUUGACGGGUAGCCGGCCUGAGAGGGUGACCGGCCACAUUGGGACUGAGAUACGGCCCAGACUCCUACGGGAGGCAGCAGUGGGGAAUAUUGCACAAUGGGCGGAAGCCUGAUGCAGCAACGCCGCGUGCGGGAUGACGGCCUUCGGGUUGUAAACCGCUUUCGCCUGUGACGAAGCGUGAGUGACGGUAAUGGGUAAAGAAGCACCGGCUAACUACGUG